UACGUAGGGUGCGAGCGUUAAUCGGAAUUACUGGGCGUAAAGUGUGCGCAGGCGGCGUUUGCAAGUCGAGUGUGAAAUCCCCGGGCUUAACUUGGGAAUUGCGCUCGAAACUACGAUGCUAGAGUGUGGCAGAGGAAGGUGGAAUUCCACGUGUAGCGGUGAAAUGCGUAGAGAUGUGGAGGAACACCGAUGGCGAAGGCAGCCUUCUGGGCCAACACUGACGCUCAUGCACGAAAGCGUGGGGAGCAAACAGG
rnacentral:rRNA from 1 species